CACGUAGGCACCAAGCGUUGUCCGGAUUUAUUGGGCGUAAAGAGCUCGUAGGCGGUUCGGUAAGUCGGGUGUGAAAACUUUGGGCUCAACCCAAAGCGUGCACUCGAUACUGCCGUGACUAGAGUUCGGUAGGGGAGCGGGGAAUUCCUAGUGCAGCGGUGAAAUGCGCAGAUAUUAGGAGGAACACCGGUGGCGAAGGCGCCGCUCUGGGCCGAAACUGACGCUGAGGAGCGAAAGCGUGGGUAGCAAACAGG
rnacentral:rRNA from 1 species